CGUUAGCGGCGGACGGGUGAGUAACACGUGGGUAACCUACCUAUAAGACUGGGAUAACUUCGGGAAACCGGAGCUAAUACCGGAUAAUAUUUCGAACCGCAUGGUUCGAUAGUGAAAGGUGGUUUUGCUAUCACUUAUAGAUGGACCUGCGCCGUAUUAGCUAGUUGGUAAGGUAACGGCUUACCAAGGCGACGAUACGUAGCCGACCUGAGAGGGUGAUCGGCCACACUGGAACUGAGACACGGUCCAGACUCCUACGGGAGGCAGCAGCG
rnacentral:rRNA from 1 species